AUUAGAGUUUGAUCCUGGCUCAGGAUGAACGCUGGCGGCGUGCCUAAUACACGCAAGUCGAGCGAAUGGAUUAAGAGCUUGCUCUUAUGAAGUUAGCGGCGGACGGGUGAGUAACACGUGGGUAACCUGCCCAUAAGACUGGGAUAACUCCGGGAAACCGGGGCUAAUACCGGAUAACAUUUUGAACUGCAUGGUUCGAAAUUGAAAGGCGGCUUCGGCUGUCACUUAUGGAUGGACCCGCGUCGCAUUAGCUAGUUGGUGAGGUAACGGCUCACCAAGGCAACGAUGCGUAGCCGACCUGAGAGGGUGAUCGGCCACACUGGGACUGAGACACGGCCCAGACUCCUACGGGAGGCAGCAGUAGGGAAUCUUCCGCAAUGGACGAAAGUCUGACGGAGCAACGCCGCGUGAGUGAUGAAGGCUUUCGGGUCGUAAAACUCUGUUGUUAGGGAAGAACAAGUGCUAGUUGAAUAAGCUGGCACCUUGACGGUACCUAA
rnacentral:rRNA from 1 species